AGUCCUGUAGCUCAGUGGUUAGAGCACUCGCCUUCCAAGCAAAAAACCUGGGUUUGAUUCCCAGCAGGGCAA